rnacentral:lncRNA from 1 species
AGAGAGCCACCUAGCUCUCUUUCCACUGUAGGAAGACACAGCAAGAACAUGGCUGUCUUUACACCAGGAAUAAAAUCAGGAAGGAGGCCCUAAUCAAGAACGUGAUCCUGCUUUCACUCUGAUCUCAGAUUUUCAACCUCCAGAACUAUCUUCCCUGUGGACGGACAUUUUUAUGUAAAGGAAUGUGAGAUGGGUCCUUGAGGAGCAUCUUUCUGGAGAUUAUUCCAUUUUUAGUUAAUCGAGGAAGGGCAGGAGAUUCAAUCAUAUUUGGAAAGAAAGAACGAAGACCAAUACAAAGGAACAACUUGAAGGCAUGAGAAUAAUGGAAAGAAGAGGGUGCCAGGGAGUCUUGUGGUCAUGGGACUCAAGAAAUAAGUAGAAGGAUUUGCUUUACCAAGGAGGAUACUGGAAGAUUCCCAAAGACGUAGAACAGAAGUCAAAGGAGCUCAUGUGAAAUAGAUGGAGUUUUCUUAGAAAGUGUAUAUAGCAUCUUUGACAUAAAUAACUUCGUCUUAGAAAUAGAUUCUACCUUACGUUUCCUAAGGCACUUUGCCAAAAUAGAUUCUACCUUACGUUUCCUAAGGCACUUUGCCAACAGGGACCAGAUGCUUUGCUUAAUAAAGACUGUGCUUCAGGCGUGGUGGCUCAUGCCUGUAAUUCCAGCAAUUUGGGAGGCUGAGGUGGGCGGAUCACGAGGUCAGGAGAUGGAGACCAUCCUUGCUAACACGGUGAAACCACGUCUCUACUACAAAAAAAAAAAAAAAAAAAAAAAAAAAAAAUUAGCUGGGCGUGGUGGCAGGCACCUGUAGUCCCAGUUCCUGGGGAGGCUGAGGCAGGAGAAUGGCGUGAACCUGGGAGGUGGAGCUUGCAGUGAGCCAAGAUCACGCCACUGCACUCUGGCCUGGGCGACAGAGCGAGACUCUGUCUCAAAAAAAAAAAAAGAAAAAUAAAUAAAUAAAUAAAUAAAUAAAUAAAUAAAUAAAUAAAUACUACAUCCUAGCAGAUAAGGGCAUAAACAAGCACAUUCUUCCACUAACACUGCCCACCAGGGGGCCUGGGGGCCAUAAAAAGAGGGACUUCAGCUCAAAAUGGUCAUCUUAACUGACACUGUCUUCUGUGAUUUUUGUUAAGCCACUUAAUAUCUAUCAGCAAAGGCUCUGCCCACAUCAAAGACCGUUCCUUGCAUGACUCUCAGAACGCCUGGCCCAGACCAAGGGAUUCCUUUUGUGUAUACUACUCUCCUCGGACUGGGAUCAUUAACCCUUUUUCCUAUCCGCUUUCUCUUGAUGUUAAAUGUUACCUUGUUUGUGGUGGAAUGUUUAGUCUAUAAUAUUAAUAUAUUGAUUUACUCUCCUCUUCAUGGUUUGCAGUAUGGACUGACUUGUAGAGUGGCUUGAGCCUGUAUGCCUGUGGCUGUGACUACCGAGUGAUCUGGAAGUAAUGCGGGGAUUUGCCUCCUUGGGAGCUCCAUGUAGCUCCUAGCUUUUGUGUUUGAAAUGGCAUCAAUAAAUGUCUGACAUUGUGGAAAGACACAAACAUGUGUGGACUUGGUUAUCUCUGACCUGGCACCAAUCAUGGAAGAAAGGGGGUAAACUGUGGAGAGCAAGGGUAAAAGGGGAGAAUAAUAGGGAUAGUUUCUAUCAGAAGCAUGAAAGAAAUCAAUGUAAAGAAAAUGAAUUAAUUCCUAAUAAUUCUGAGGACCUGGCUGAGAGGAAAGAAAAAAAUAAACCAGAAAUUACUGUGCUGGGCACUGACUGGGAGACCUCUCUUUUUCACUAAUUAGUCAAGGAGGUGCUAGGACUUACUCAUGAUUGAGGAUUGGCACUAGGACAAACCUCUGAAAGAUUUUAGGAAUGAGCAAAUAAUUGGUGGGGGCUGCAGUCUACAUAUGGAAGCCAAUGAAACUUCUAUCUGAGGGGAUAUAGAGAAGCCAGGGAUAGAGAGUUCAGAAUGAAGCUAGAGGAAGGUCAAAAUGGAAGUACAUGAGCAAGGAAUCAAGAAGCAACAGAUGGUUGUAAUCAAAC